rnacentral:rRNA from 1 species
UACGUAGGGUGCGAGCGUUGUCCGGAAUUAUUGGGCGUAAAGAGCUCGUAGGUGGUUUGUCGCGUUGUUCGUGAAAACCGGGGGCUUAACCUUCGGCGUGCGGGCGAUACGGGCAGACUGGAGUACUGCAGGGGAGACUGGAAUUCCUGGUGUAGCGGUGGAAUGCGCAGAUAUCAGGAGGAACACCGGUGGCGAAGGCGGGUCUCUGGGCAGUAACUGACGCUGAGGAGCGAAAGCGUGGGGAGCGAACAGG